UGGUAACAGGCACAGUGGUAGCAGGCUGCUUAAGGUCAUGAGAGAGAUGGCACAGAGAAUUAUGUUUAUUGACAUUUGUGAAAACACAACAGAACAUUAUGGUAUAGAUGUCAGAUAUCAUCACCCAUUUCAAUAUCUAAGGGGAGACUUUACAUCUUCAGUUUUACCCUGACAGUCCUCUGCUGUAUUUUCAAACUCUGCCUGAGUCACACACACACAGCCUGAGCUACAAGCUCUGAAUGAAGGAACUCCAGAAAAUCUUGUGGCUGACCAGUUUGUAUGAUCACCAGUUGCAAUCCAGAACCUAGAUUUCAGCACCAUUAAGUUGUGAAUUCGUAGACCAUUAGUUUUACGUCCAGGAUCCCUCUUCAGCGGAAAAUUUAUCAGACAAUGAUUGUACUGUUGUACCUGGAUCUCAAGACAUUUACAUAAGUUAAACGGUAACUUAGUCUUUACAUUCAACCAAUUCUACUGGACUGGUAGACACAGACUGAUGAAAGUACUAAGGUUUGGACCAUAGACAGUAUAUUACUAACUGGAUCCAAGUUUCACUAAAAUGUAACUAAGCUUGCAGAUCAGCUGUUGUACACAACUAUUUGCAUACAAGCUCCUAUGAAAUUUUCUGUAAUGUUUAAAAGAUAGUUUUUUCAACACAACAAUAUGAAUCUGAUUUAGAAUAAUAAGCCUCGCAGUGAAAUUCUAUUUUAAUAAAGAAGUUCAGAUUUUAAAACUAGUACAUGUAGAAUCACCUGUAGUGAUUAGCAACUUGUACAAUUCUUUUGUUUAUGAGAAUGUUUAUGUUUUUAAAUUUGAACCUAGGGUGGAAGCAAUUAGAUAAUUAUAAUUAUGAUGUGCACAAAUUGUCAAGUUUUUUUUUUUACCUGGCAUCAGUACAAAGUGGACAAGAUAAACUCAUAACAGCUCAUCUAAUCAAAAAUAACAUGUAUACUGACGAGAUAUGAAAACGCAACAAGCGCAUGCCUGAAUAUUUUUUUUCUACCAAAAGUAUUGCAUUGUAAUGUUAACACAGACAGAUAUUCUAUACUCAUUGUUUUCAAAUUUAAUCAGAACAACAGAUCAUAAAACUUACACAAUGGGAAUAGUCUCAGUAUCGAGAUGUGUUUGUGUUGAACAGUUCAAGGUGAUACUUUUUUGUAUUAAAAGUAUAUUCAUGCAUAUGUUUUUUGCGUUUUCAUAUCUUGUCAGUGUAUUGUUGUAAAUGUAAAAAUUGUACAUGUCAUGUCAUAUGUCUUUCAUUCCGUCAUUUCAUAUACUGCCAUUAGUUUGUUCAAGAC
rnacentral:lncRNA from 1 species